rnacentral:tRNA from 1 species
UGGGGUGUAGCUCAGAGGCAGAGCAGCCGGCUGUUAACCGGCCCGUCGAAAGUUCGAUCCUUUCCUCCCCAG